UUUAGAACUACACUGCUGUCCCUGAAGUAGCUCCUUAAAUGGUCUCAAUCUCCUGAAGGGGUUUAAGGAGAAGCUGUGUAUCCACAAGAAGGUGUGGAUUGCAACACCCAGCCAGGGCUGUUUUCAUGUCCCUGCUGCCCAAAUUUCAUUAUCUCUCAGCUGGUUAGCUACAGCUAAAGAUCAAACCACUAGAUAAUGAGAUCCUAGCUGAGUGAUCAAAAGAGAAUCAGAGAAAAAACGAUCUGGCCAGAAGCUUGCCUAGGGCCUUGUGGGAGAGCAUACGGGAAGCAGAAAGCAGCAGAGUUAAAAGCUGUGGAACAACUGAGGUAGAGAGAACUCAAAACCAGACAAGAAUACAGGGUGGUUUCCUUUCAUUUAGUAUGGAGGAUAUUCCUGCCUGUGUACAGAACUUUGACCACAGAGAAAAAAGAAUG